UGUUAAAAAUUCUAUCAAUUUAUAUUAUUAAAAUUUGGCGUUGCUGAUAGAAUAACCAAAUAGUGUACUUCAUGCUGACAUACAUGGAUUAGUUUUUAACAGCAAAAAUAGAUGAAACUUUUAACA
rfam:Gossypium raimondii Chr04_contig_931, whole genome shotgun sequence.